AUACGUAUGGUGCAAGCGUUAUCCGGAUUUACUGGGUGUAAAGGGAGCGUAGGUGGUCUGGCAAGCCAGAAGUGAAAACCCGGGGCUCAACCCCGCGGAUUGCUUUUGGAACUGUUGGACUAGAGUGCAGGAGGGGUAAGUGGAAUUCCCAGUGUAGCGGUGAAAUGCGUAGAUAUUGGGAGGAACACCGGUGGCGAAGGCGGCUUACUGGACUGUAACUGACACUGAGGCUCGAAGGCGUGGGGAGCAAACAGGAUUAGAUACCCUGGUAGUCCACGCGGUAAACGAUGAAUACUAGUUGUUGGCGGGCGAAGCCCGUCAGUGACGCAGCAAACGCAAUAAGUAUUCCACCUGGGGAGUACGUUCGCAAGAAUGAAACUCAAAUGAAUUGACGGGG
rnacentral:rRNA from 1 species